rnacentral:rRNA from 1 species
UACGAAGGGUGCAAACGUUGCUCGGAAUUAUUGGGCGUAAAGCGCACGUAGGCGGCUUUUCAAGUCGGAUGUGAAAUCCCUCGGCUUAACCAAGGAAGUGCAUCCGAAACUGGAAGGCUUGAGUACUUAAGAGGAUCGCGGAAUUCCCGGUGUAGAGGUGAAAUUCGUAGAUAUCGGGAGGAACACCAGUGGCGAAGGCGGCUUUCUGGUCCGAUUCUGACGCUGAGGCGCGAAAGCCAGGGGAGCAAACGGG